CCUACGGGCGACAGCAGUAGGGAAUCUUCCACAAUGGGCGAAAGCCUGAUGGAGCAACGCCGCGUGAGUGAAGAAGGUCUUCGGAUCGUAAAACCCUGUUGUUAGAGAAGAAAGUGCGUGAGAGUAACUGUUCACGUUUCGACGGUAUCUAACCAGAAAGCCACGGCUAACUACGUGCCAGCAGCCGCGGUAAUACGUAGGUGGCAAGCGUUAUCCGGAUUUAUUGGGCGUAAAGGGAACGCAGGCGGUCUUUUAAGUCUGAUGUGAAAGCCUUCGGCUUAACCGGAGUAGUGCAUUGGAAACUGGGAGACUGGAGUGCAGAAGAGGAGAGUGGAACUCCAUGUGUAGCGGUGAAAUGCGUAGAUAGAUGGAAGAACACCAGUGGCGAAGGCGGCUCUCUGGUCUGUAACUGACGCUGAGGUUCGAAAGCGUGGGUAGCAAACAGGAUUAGAUACCCUAGUAGUC
rnacentral:rRNA from 1 species